rnacentral:rRNA from 1 species
GCGGCGUGCUUAACACAUGCAAGUCGAACGGUGAACACGGAGCUUGCUCUGUGGGAUCAGUGGCGAACGGGUGAGUAACACGUGAGCAACCUGCCCCUGACUCUGGGAUAAGCGCUGGAAACGGCGUCUAAUACUGGAUAUGUGACGUGACCGCAUGGUCUGCGUUUGGAAAGAUUUUUCGGUUGGGGAGGGGCUCGCGGCCUAUCAGCUUGUUGGUGAGGUAAUGGCUCACCAAGGCGUCGACGGGUAGCCGGCCUGAGAGGGUGACCGGCCACACUGGGACUGAGACACGGCCCAGACUCCUACGGGAGGCAGCAGUGGGGAAUAUUGCACAAUGGGCGAAAGCCUGAUGCAGCAACGCCGCGUGAGGGAUGACGGCCUUCGGGUUGUAAACCUCUUUUAGCAGGGAAGAAGCGAAAGUGACGGUACCUGCAGAAAAAGCGCCGGCUAACUACGUGCCAGCAGCCGCGGUAAUACGUAGGGCGCAAGCGUUAUCCGGAAUUAUUGGGCGUAAAGAGCUCGUAGGCGGUUUGUCGCGUCUGCUGUGAAAUCCCGAGGCUCAACCUCGGGCCUGCAGUGGGUACGGGCAGACUAGAGUGCGGUAGGGGAGAUUGGAAUUCCUGGUGUAGCGGUGGAAUGCGCAGAUAUCAGGAGGAACACCGAUGGCGAAGGCAGAUCUCUGGGCCGUAACUGACGCUGAGGAGCGAAAGGGUGGGGAGCAAACAGGCUUAGAUACCCUGGUAGUCCACCCCGUAAACGUUGGGAACUAGUUGUGGGGUCCAUUCCACGGAUUCCGUGACGCAGCUAACGCAUUAAGUUCCCCGCCUGGGGAGUACGGCCGCAAGGCUAAAACUCAAAGGAAUUGACGGGGACCCGCACAAGCGGCGGAGCAUGCGGAUUAAUUCGAUGCAACGCGAAGAACCUUACCAAGGCUUGACAUAUACGAGAACGGGCCAGAAAUGGUCAA